UACGAAGGGGACUAGCGUUGUCCGGAAUCACUGGGCGUAAAGGGCGCGUAGGCGGCGCGGGGAGUCAACGGUGAAAGCUCGGCGCUCAACGCCGAGUCGGCCGUCGAUACUCCCGUGCUUGAGCACUGUAGAGGCAGGUGGAAUUCCGGGUGUAGCGGUGGAAUGCGUAGAGAUCCGGAAGAACACCGGAGGCGAAGGCGGCUUGCUGGGCGUAGUCUGACGCUGAGGCGCGAAAGCGUGGGGAGCGAACAGG
rnacentral:rRNA from 1 species